rnacentral:lncRNA from 1 species
GGAGGCUGACUCAAAUAGGCCAGUCGGAAUAAUUGCAAUCACAGCAAAAAGGAAAAAAAAGCAGCUGUUACAGGUUAAGUUCUACAGGUGAACAUAAAAACAACUGUAUCAUGUUUCCAAGUUUUUGCAUGAAAAUAAGCAUCAAAAUGUGUACUUGUACUUGCACUUUAUCUUUUUUUGAUAUGUAUUUUUACACCACUGUAAAAGCAUAUACAGUAUGGUUACCUUGUGCUUGUCUUCUACAUUUUGUUUCUUUAGUUCAUCAGACAUUGUGGUGUUUCAUCAUACGAUCGUCUUGCAAUAUAUCAGUUGAAACAUAAUUACUGCAUGUUGAGAUUGUAAUCACAAGCCACAGACUGCACAUCGUGAGGCACCUGGUCUUUGUACAGUAAAAUAUCAUCUCCGCCAACUAACAGAUCAUGAUGGACACAUAUUUCUAGUGUCCAGGGUGACCUUGGAAAAAAUGUACAACACCUCACAUGGUUUUUAUACCCUGAAAAACUUGUGAUUAUGUCCCAGAUUGCAAACACAGACUACUUCCUUGACGAUGUGUACAGUACUGCUCAUUUGAGGAUAUUUCUACAUACAUACAUACGUCUGUGUGUAGUUGUGGCUGUAUCUAUUUGUAUAUGUGAGAGCUACUUUCAACACGCAUCCUGUUCCCUCCUCUGUGCUGGCUUUUUGAUGAAGUUUGAAACAUGGAAAUCCAGGCUUAAUCUCCCAUCCUAUCCCUCUGUGAUCAGCCUACUGGGAUCCUGGAAGUUUUCCUGCUCAGGGAAGGGAUUACAGGAUACACACUUACACAAACAUGUUCAUUUCACACACCUGUACUCACAUAAACAUACUCAUUGUACAGAUGAAAUUGCAGCACAGGCGUGUUUCUGAGACUCCAGAGUGCUGAACAUGAGUUUCCUUCCCCAGUCUUGAGCACCUCUCUGCUCUGGUCAUUCCUUGUAAGAAUGAUUGGGUGUGUAUGCUAAAGGGAGGAUUGUUAAUAAUAAACCAUUUAAAUACUUCCUGGGAAAACACUGACAUCACAGACACAGGAAAAUAACUGUAGCAGAUACUGCGGAUCUUCUGGCUCAUCAGAUGAAAUGAAUCUUUCAAAUUACCCCUGGAGCGGAGUGUUGCACAUCAUUUAAAAUGAAAACAAACCAUCAUCAGACAUUUAUUGUUCAGUGGCUCUUAAUCCUAAUUAAUACUGUAAUUGGAUGCUCAUUUUGUCAACCAAGAGUUUGGGUUAACUUCUUUUUAAGUUGGUUAUGAUUAAUUUUGCAAGCGCACGCAAAUUGCAGCAUUGAAAAUGAAUUUGUAAUGAAUCAUUUCAAAGAGAAAUCAUAACAUGCACACAGAUUGAAGAGUUCUUGUUAUUGUGGUAUUAAAAACAAUUUAAAAGAGACAUGAACAUGGUAACCUUCAUAUCCUCAAAUCUGAAUGGUCGAAAGUUUAUUUCUGUUGAUUGGGAAUUGACCAAGCAUAGCUGGAGCAGUUUGUUUUUUGUUCCACUUUGGUAUGAAGUCUUUGAUAGAGCUCAGAAACAUGUAUACAAAUUUAAUCUAACAUUCUUGCCUUACUUUUUUAAAAGCUUACUCGAAUGUUUAUAUGCAGAGUUUGUUUCAAGACCCUUGUGCAUGAGAGAACACGGUUGUUCAAUAGGACAUCUUGUAAAAAUCUGCAAUUUUUUGGCUCUUUGCUGUAGAUGCAUGUAUUGAAUUAAAAAAAUGUAUGAUGUAUGUUCAUGUCUGACAUUUUGGCUCUGUGGUAAAUUGCAGAACAUAACUCUUUCAAAGCAGUUCUGUUGGCCAAAAUCUUAACAAGUAAAAUAUGCUGGAACACAUACGAGUACCCUGUUUGUUUAAUCAGCACUCAGCACCUGCAGAAUCUACACCCUGUGUAAAACAUCAUCAGAGCCCCGUCAUGAUGGAGCACUGAGGCUCAGCCUGCCUCACUCCUGUCUUUACCCCCUGGAGAGUCUUUCCUGGGGCUGCUCUCAGCCUUCAGCAGUGCUACCCCCAACCCCCACCCGUCCCGGCCGCUCACAGCCGGCAGCGCUCCCAGUACUAGACCCACUAGCCUCCACAGAUAUUUCCUGAGGAAAACAUAUCACCUCAGGCUAGACCAGCCGGCUGACUAUGCUGAGACAGCAGCAGCCCCAGCCCACAAUCCACCGCAGGCCUCAACCUCAAUCUCCCUCCCUUUUCUUUCUUUCCUCUCUCUCUCGCUCUCUCUCGCUCUCUUCCCCUCAUGCUCUCUGUCCGUCUCUCUCUCUUCCGUCUCUCUUUCCCCGCUCUCCCUCUCUGUCAUACUGGCCAAGAACAGAAACUUUUUACAACCAAUGCAUGGGAAAAAUUACAAACAUCAAGUGCUUUAAACCCAUGAAAAAUCAUCCCCAAGUCAUUAACAUGUCUGUGAAUGGUCAAAGUUUGCUGUUGAUUUGAGAGGGUUUUAUCCUGGAAAUUUAUUCUCAUUGCCUGGUAGAAACAGAUGUUUGAGACUAAAGAGGGGUGAAAGUUUUUUUAAGCUCCUAUAUGAGGAACUUUCAGGUUGAACCAAUUUUGGUGACUCCUGUAGUCAAAGGAGUCUUAACUUAUCUUCUCCGCUACAUGCUUGAUUAGUGUCAACCUUUUUUUUUUAACAUUUGACAGUUAAAUUUAUCUUUUAAUGUAAAUAUUCUAAGUGGAAAAUGUAAUUUCAUGAUUGUUUCUUCAGCUACUCCUGCUUAUCUUCCAGGGUUUAAAUGAUGAUAUAAAAAAUAGUUAAUCUCAUCACUAAUGGUCGUAUUUGCUUUGGUAAUAUGCUAAUAAAAAGUAACUCUUAGUAAAACUCCCUGAGUAAGACGAUGGACUAUUUUAAUGACAUAUGUGGAUGAAGGCAUCAUCGUAAUCAUGUAAUACGACCCAAUAUUGGUCAAUCCUUCCUCUGAAAGGUUUCGCAAGCUGCUGGAAAAUAACAUCUCCAAACGGACAAACUGAAAAUAUAACAAAAAAUGAUCGUGCAAUGUGUGUAUUUUCCUCAGUUUAAUGCACUGUUCGGUCUCUCAGAAACAGCCAGAGUAAAGUCAAAAUGUUAGAUGAGUCUGUUUCUACUUGUCACACCUGCAUAUAAGAUGCAAUAUGGUUUUUGGGGGGCUGCCAGAGGGAUAAAAGUUUAAGCUGUGUUCCUGUGUGAAGACCUCAUAAAAACAUUAUGACCAUUAAACCAAAUAAAAGUAUUCUACAGCGUUUUCACUUUAAAAACUGACAUUGUAAGACAUAUUCAAGCCAUGAAUCAGAGCUACAGAAAUUGCUUUGGUACUCUAUCAAAUCUUAAAUGAAUAGACGGCACUGAAACUUUCUUGAGUCUGUCUGGAUAACAUGUUACUUUGACAUGAAACGGCCUUGCGUUUUGUAGCCCUGAGGUUAUUAUGGUGCCUUUUCUUUCUUUUUCUUUUAUACAUGAUGCAGGUUUGAAGAAGAUGAGACUCACCAUGUGGCAGUUAUUCCCAUCCUUGAGACCAAACCAACGUACGUCAACAUCUUUGCAAGCUGCCGAGGAAAGGAAGGAUGCGAUGAUGUGCUUUAUGUUGGGGGUUAGGGUGGGAACCCAGUGCUGCAAUAGUAAAACAGGGAGGACAUGUUAAAUGUAUUGAUACCGUUGCCUCAGGAAAUCCCUUUUACCCCUUGUGUUCUCAUCUCCUCUUUUAGUGUGCCUGUUCCCUGUUCAGUAUUUCCCAUGACAGCAUUUGAAGACCAAGGUCUACCGUUUUUGUCCUCCCUCUAUACCUUGUCAUUGUUCCUGAGAGGAGUUGCUGUUGGACCAAAAUUAUGAAUCCAUAUUCACAUUUUCAGGAUGGUAAAAUCGCAUUAAUUUUUAACGAAUGCCAUGGCAUAAGCAACAUGAAAGCAAUCAGUGGCUUUAGAAAAAUAUAAAAGGAACAUUCAUGGACAUUUGUGCCAGUUUAAUCGUAUUCAUAGAUUAUUUUAUGGUUCAAAAAUGAUGUUUAUGUUUUCAUUAAUGGGGUGGAUAUGUCAAAUUAAGCUGGUACAGUAAACUAGAUGGAACUUUAGGUAGCCUAUGUCCACUGGGAUGCUAUCGACCAUCAUGUAAUAUAUGACAGUGAGGCAGGCAUGUUUCUGAAUGGCACUCAGAGGCAAUUUUUCUUGUUUUGAUCCAGUGGCUUUAUAAACAGUGAUGCACUGCCUCUUCUCUCUAUAAAUGUUGUUAUAGAGUGACCUAAACAUUUUUUUAGGUGACAUUAAAAUAUAGUUUUACACCCAGAUUAUCAACAAGUAAGAGAAAGUUCUCUGAUACACAUAAUGUGCUGUGACUAUAAACAAGACAAGACUCUUUUUUUAGUUAAAUAAGUGCAACAAGUUUAUCAGCAACAAGUUUUCAUGAUAGUGGACAGGAAUUAGAGUUUGUAAAUAGGUCGAUACCAACUCUGGGCAAUGGGUCAUGGCUAGGUUGAUGUUAAAGGAGCAAUGGAUCAGACCAUGUUUAAUACAGUAUUGCAGGGACUGUAGUGGGAAGUUUGUAAAUAAUUUCAUAGAUGUUGACCUGAAAGUUUAGAUAUUUUUUCUAAUGUUGUUUUUCAGAGAUUUCAACAUGUGGUUGAGUUCAAUUGUGAGUGUAAAUAAGUUCAAAUCAAAUGUUGAAGUCAAAUAAAAGUUAAUUAAUUAAUUAAUUUAAAAAAACUCUAAGGCAAGAAGAAAGAGUUCGAUCUCUGAUUUUGUAGUUUAGGCACUUCUCGGUCCAUUGGGCCCUUUGAACACCAGUUUUUCUUGUUAAAAGUACAGUAGGUUGAAAUGAGAAUCUCUGACAAUAGCUACAGGUCAAACUCUACAUCUUCUGUGUCUCCCAAUUUGUCAAUGGAGACAUAAGAUGGUGGCCUCUGUGGGAGUGGACAGCUGCUUAAAAGGCUUAUUCUGAGUUAACACAGAUAAAAUUAUGUCUUUAUUGAGGUGAUUAUAAACCAAUUUAAACAUACCUCUACAGAUAUUUUGCACUUCACAAGAGGAAACUGACACGAUUGCUGUUUGUAAAAGGUACCACAAGAAUUACAAGAACAGAAAAUAAUGCUGCGUUCGAGUUACCUCGGAAGUCCGAUGUCGGAGCUGAAAAUGAUGUCACACCCAAGUUCCCAGCAUUUUGGUUACCAGUCAGAAAAAAAGUAAAAUCAGAGGUGGAAACAAGAUGGUUACAUCUACGAAAGUUACUUUAGCGCUUGCCUUGUCCUUGUUAUAUUCGGACAAGGCACACAUUAAAAAAUCUUUCGUAGAUUUUGCUUUUUUCUGACUUGGUAACUGAAAUGCUGGUAACUCGGAUGUGACGUCAUUUUCAGCUCCAACAUCUGACUCCCGAGGUAACUCGAACGCAGCAUAAGUCCUCAAGUUUUAAAACAAAAAUCUUUUGAGGCACCUGAAAAGUUGUAGAUAAAUGGACUUCUCUCUGAGUUUAAAGCACUUACUGACCAAACUUUUCAAAGAGAAAACGAGUUUUGCCAGCUGAAGGCAUAUCUCAACAUAAUGUGAUACUGAAUGACAAUUGAAAAGUCAGAAAUGUUCUUUUUAAAUUACAAAAUUGCAAAUAAAUAUAUACAGUAUGUAUUGGUUAUCUUACCUGUAUCAGCCAGGUUAUCAGUAUCAAGUGAGAAAAAUCAAUCUCCGCAUUCUUACUUAAUUUAUAAAACAGAAACUAAGAACUUUUUACUGCUGCUUUAAAAAAUAAUUUAUGCUGAAAUUAUUUGAGCCAUCAAUCAUUUUGUAAUCUUCUAAAGGCAGCUAUUUCACUUUGGCUCAAAACUGUUCAGACGCUUGUUUGACCCAGGUCUGCUUUCUACCAUACGCCGUUGCUGAGGCCAGAGGAAGUCAAGGCAAAGGGGUCCAUUACACCUCGGGGUCUAUCUCAGCCUGCGUCAGGACAAUCCCACUUAGCAUGAAGGAUGACUCUAUCUGUCCGCUGUCUCAUUUUGCCUGUCCAAAUGCCCCCGCUGGCCCGAGUCUACCUGCCCAUCGACCACUGUGAUUUGUCGGAAUCCAAUCCCAGGAAUGAUAAUUGAUUUAAUUGGAGGUGAUGAAUGAAGGGGUUUUAUGGAGCAUGGAUCAUAAGUUGGUGACAGUCUGGGGGAUAAUAGGGAAAGUUUAUGGGUCAAAAGGCUCAGUGGUCUUGUUGUAGGUUUGAUAAGUCAUAGCUUGUGCAGUUUGUUGGUCUAUGCUGAAUUUUUCUUUUGGAUUGCUUCUUCCCGGAAACAUUCAUCAGAAAGUGAUGGAAAAGAAGAAUUCUGCUCUAGACAAUUCGAGCCACUGAAAUGUGUGUCUAAAUAUUAUGAGUUUGUGUACACAUUAUAUGUUUGUAAGACUGAAUAAAGUAUAAGGGAGAAAGACAAUAACCACAUACAGUUCUCAUGUUAUCUUUGUGUCACUUUGUAUUGUAGCAUCAUAAAAAUAAUGCAAAACAUCUAUAAAUUGCACCAGAGAUCACUCGAUAUUUUAGCAAUCAUCAAAAAAUUUCCUACAAGACAGGCCAUUCAUCUAUUUGAAGUUUUUACCAUCAAAACUCUUAAAGCAGGACUAAGGUGAGUAAAGGUUGUAGUCAGCUCCAGAAGUAAAUGUUGAAAAAUGGAAAGUGGAAAAGAUGACAGACUGUAAUGGGACAUUCAGGAGAAUUAAUUUGACCUUGAGGUCAUACUGAACUUGGAACCAGACAGGUCCAGUGACAGCUCUGUAGUGUUGAGUCUCUGUGGUGACCGGGCACCAGACUCACAACAAGGUGACAGUCUGAGAAGAGGAUCUGAUCAGCAAUGGGUCUGGUCAAACCUUGGUAUAGGGACCAGGAAAAGGUGUCUGCCAGACCUCUGACUAGAAACCAGGACAAGAUGUUUGCCAGGCUCCAGCUGUGGACCUGUCAGGUCUAGUGGCAGACCUCAUACAGGUCAGUAGAGUCUCUUAGACUUUAGCAGCAGAUAUCGUUGAUGAUAUUGACAGACAAGAGUACCACACCUACUUCUGUGGCAUCUUUAGAGCCCAAAAACAUCCAGGUGAGAUCCCACACAAGAAAACUGCUGGGUGUCUGGAAUUCAUGCAAUUCAUUUUAUGAACAGACAGAAGGUUGACAUGAAGGUAUGGGACAGAGAGACUGCAGGCUCAUAUUUACAAGCCCACCUGGAGUCAUUAGAGGACACAGACAAUACAUUAAAAAACUUCACAAACAGAAAUAAAAUAAACGGUCGAAAAAAAACAUGAAUGAAAUAAUAGGCGAGACUCUCGACUUACCGGUCGAUCUAUGUGCCGACCCUCACCUAGGGUCAUGAACUUUGGGUAAUGAUCGAAAGAACGAGAUCAGGGAUACAAGUGGCCGAAAUGGGUUUCCUUCGCAGGGUGGCCGGGUUCAGCCUUAGAGAUAGGGUAAGGCGCUCGACACUCGGGAAGCACUCAGGGUAGAGCCGCUGGAGUCAGCUGAGGUGGCUCGGGCAUCUAGUUAGGAUGCCUUCUUGACGCCUCCUGUUCGAGGUCGUCAGACAUGUUACAGUGGGAGGAGACCUUGUGGCCGGCCCAGGACCAGGUGGAGGGAUUAUAUCUCUCGUCUGGCAUGGUAGCGCCUGGGAAUCCCCCGGAGGAGCUGGUGGAAGUGGCCGGGGUAAGGGCCGUCUGGGCUUCCCUCCUGAAGCUGCUGCCCCUGUGACCUGGACCCGGAUAAGCGGAAGAAAAUGAUGACGACAAAAUGAAAUAACAAAUUUUAAAAAAAUCGAUCUUUACCUUUGCAGGUGGUUGUGAAAGGUCUGCAGGACCUUCCCUCAGAAAAUGGGAACAGCUCUGUAGAUGGAUAAAGGAAAAAGCAAAAGAGGAUACCUGGUCAAGGUGGAUACCAGAGGUAGACAUAUGCAUGGAGGUCUUCUGUGUGAUGAAGUAAUGAAAUGGAAAUUUUUAUAAAGGUUUAUAAUCCUAAACAGAUUUAACUAGUGUAAUACGUGGUGCAUGGAUAAAUUUGUUCAGACAGGAGACAACCUGCAAUCACAGUCCCCGCAGAAAUAUCCUAUUACUUUAAAAAUAUAACUUUAAUAGCAGACCAGGUGUGUCAUUGUAAAAUUGUGUUCCUUAAACUUUUGAGUCGUGUAUUGUUUACUUUUGCAAACCCUCAUGAGUUUAAGCAAGCAACCUACAUCCGUUCAAACACAGGGUGUCUUAUAUAUAACAGGAAGGCCCCAAUGAGGUCCUGUUUGAUGGAUAGGUUCCCAUUGCUAUUGCAGGCUACAGAUGGCUUGUUAAAGUGUGUGCGCGUACUUGGUAAGAUUGGGCGCAGACAAUCAUAGAGCAAAAACUUAACAAAAAGCAACAUAAAAACAUUCAUUCCCUUCAUUUCACUUGGCAUAAAAUGAAAAGUUUGGCAAGUGAUUUUAUGAUGCAGCCAGACUUGGCAGCCCGACCCAAGGAUAUAAGAAAUUAAACCCUGAAAGAUGAAACCUGUUUUAUGCCCUGACUCCCUGAAGAAAUGUAUAAAAAUAUUCGAAAGUCAGCCAAAACAGUGCAGUUAUUUCUAUUUCUACAUCUCUGUGUGUUUCAAUCUUAAGUGUAGCUGCGUAAUCAUGACGCCCCACUCUCCCCACAACAUUUAUUGUUCAACUUUUGGGGAAAUACAGCAGAGUUCAAUAAACUGAUGAUCCCGUCAGGGGAGAGGAAGAGUGAGGGGAUGGUAGGGGGGUUGUGAUGAAUGAAUGAAGAGGCAAUGAUGCUGUAAUAUGAAACAAAUAAAUGGAGUUAAGGAGGGUAACAGAGGCAUCAGGGUGAACGGAAUAUGAGAGAGACGUGAGGGAGGAAGUCAAACAGAAAAGUAUGAGGAAAAGAUAAAUAAAGGGAGGAGAAAAGCUGGAGAGGGAUGAAGACUUCAACAUUCAGGAAGAGGAGAAACAUGGUGAAGUUAAAGAAAAAGAAAAAUGGCCAGUAAGAAACAGAGAGUUAGUAGGGUGUGGGCUGCCAGGAUCCGAUUUCCACAUUCUUCCUAUCGCCACACCUAAAUCCUUAAUUGUGUGGCCACAGACAAAGUACUGCAGAGACCACAGCACUCCUGCUAGCCGGCGUUUAGCUGCUGAAAACCUCGCUGUUUAAAUUGGUCGACAACCCAGUCCGCAUGCGACUGGGGUUUUGGAGCGGGAGAGAGAAAGAAAAGGAUUGAAAAAUAAUACGAGGGAAAGAAAGGACAUACAAAUGAGAGAAAAUCCUUUUCGGAAUUUGAGCUUGGAGUGGGCAACUGAGAAAACAAAUACGUACAUUUCUGCAAAUCAAAUAGCCACCACACCAUCAGUGUGUCAAAUGUUUUAUGGAAGGAGAGUGGC